GACAGAGGGUGCAAACGUUGCUUGGAAUUACUGGGCGUAAAGCGCGUGUAGGUGGACCAGCAAGUCAGGCGUGAAAUCCCUAGGCUCAACCUAGGAACUGCACCUGAAAACUUCUGGUCUUGAGUGGUGGAGAGGAAAGCAGAAUUCCUGGUGUAGAGGUGAAAUUCGUAGAUAUCAGGAGGAACACCGGUGGCGAAGGCGGCUUUCUGGACACUUACUGACACUGAGACGCGAAAGCGUGGGGAGCAAACAGG
rnacentral:rRNA from 1 species